UCCACCAAUCAGGUCUGUAUGGUCGCAUGACCAGACGGAAGCCACUCCUGAGUAAAAGGCACAUGGCAGCCUGGCUGGAGUUUGCGAAAAGGCACCUGAAGGAC